ACAUGAAUUAAGGCCAAGCAAAAGGUAACCAAACAAUGAGACGUCAGAACUAUUUAAAAUCGUCCAAAGAUUGAUAACAGGAGCACAGGCAGAGCAUUUAAAAUCAAAGCAAAACGAACUAUAGAUUAACAACGUCGAGUUUCCCUUGAAGUUUUUAAAGAACGUACAUGAAUUUCCAAGCUGAGACCAGACCGAGUUGCCGAAUUCC
rnacentral:lncRNA from 1 species